UUUGGUAAAGACCCUAGGCGAAGCUUAGAGGUCGCCGGUUCGAGUGACGGUUGGAACAAAACUAAUAUUACAUGCUGUGGUUUCGGGUCUGGAGUGAUUACGGGAUUCGGCCUAGAACCUCCUGGUAUUUCAAAAAAAAGAAGAGAAGUGUAAAUGGGCUGCAGAUGGAUUAAGGGCCCAAAUGAAGAAUGUGUUUCUUGUGGCCUGCAAGUAAAAAGGCCUAACAAGUUAAGUGUGUUUUGUU
rnacentral:sRNA from 1 species